rnacentral:sRNA from 1 species
CGUUUCAAGUACACAACACCUCAUGGUAUUUUGAGAUUUGUUUACUUUACGGUUCCGA